GACGAACGCUGGCGGCGUGCCUAAUACAUGCAAGUUGAGCGCUGAAGGUUGGUACUUGUACCAACUGGAUGAGCAGCGAACGGGUGAGUAACGCGUGGGGAAUCUGCCUUUGAGCGGGGGACAACAUUUGGAAACGAAUGCUAAUACCGCAUAAAAACUUUAAACACAAGUUUUAAGUUUGAAAGAUGCAAUUGCAUCACUCAAAGAUGAUCCCGCGUUGUAUUAGCUAGUUGGUGAGGUAAAGGCUCACCAAGGCGAUGAUACAUAGCCGACCUGAGAGGGUGAUCGGCCACAUUGGGACUGAGACACGGCCCAAACUCCUACGGGAGGCAGCAGUAGGGAAUCUUCGGCAAUAGACGAAAGUCUGACCGAGCAACGCCGCGUGAGUGAAGAAGGUUUUCGGAUCGUAAAACUCUGUUGGUAGAGACGAACGUUGGUGAGAGUGGAAAGCUCAUCAAGUGACGGUAACUACCCAGAAAGGGACGGCUAACUACGUG
rnacentral:rRNA from 1 species